UUAAACGGCCGCGGGAUCCUCCACCGUGCAAAGGUAGCAUAAUCACUUGUCCCCUAAAUAGUGACUAGUAUGAACGGCCAAAUGAAGAUCUUACUGUCUCUUGUAGCCAAUCUAUGAAACUAAUCUAUCAGUACAAAAACUGAUAUUUUUUCAUAAGACGAAAAGACCCUGUGGAACUUUAAGCAUAACUCACCUAAUGAUAUACUGCUUUUAGUUGGGGCAACUUUGGAAAUAAACAAAACUUCCAAUCUUAAGCCAAGAUUAAACUGAUCUACACACCAUAUGACCCAGCACAUGCUGAUCAAAGAACCAAGCUACCCCAGGGAUAACAGCGCCAUCCCCUCCUAGAGCCCAAAUCGACGAGUGGGGUUUACGACCUCGAUGUUGGAUCAGGGCCCCCAAACAGUGCAACAGCUGUUAAUGGUUUGUUUGUUCAACAAUUAAAGCCCU
rnacentral:rRNA from 1 species